rnacentral:rRNA from 1 species
UCGUACCUACGGGACGCAGCAGUGGGGAAUAUUGCGCAAUGGGCGAAAGCCUGACGCAGCGACGCCGCGUGAGGGAUGAAGGUCUUCGGAUCGUAAACCUCUGUCAGCAGGGAAGAACGGUCACUGUGCUAAUCAGCAGUGAAUUGACGGUACCUGCAAAGGAAGCACCGGCUAACUCCGUGCCAGCAGCCGCGGUAAUACGGAGGGUGCGAGCGUUAAUCGGAAUUACUGGGCGUAAAGCGCUCGUAGGCGGUAAGUCAAGUCACGGGUGAAA